GACGAACGCUGGCGGCGUGCUUAACACAUGCAAGUCGAACGAAAGGACGGGAAGAGCUUGCUCUUUCCGGAAUUGAGUGGCAAACGGGUGAGUAACACGUAAACAACCUGCCUUCAGGAUGGGGACAACAGACGGAAACGACUGCUAAUACCGAAUAAGUUCCAAGAGCCGCAUGGCCCAUGGAAGAAAAGGUGGCCUCUACCUGUAAGCUAUCGCCUGAAGAGGGGUUUGCGUCUGAUUAGCUGGUUGGAGGGGUAACGGGCCCACCAAGGCGACGAUCAGUAGCCGGUCUGAGAGGAUGAACGGCCACACUGGAACUGAGACACGGUCCAGACUCCUACGGGAGGCAGCAGUGGGGAAUCUUCCGCAAUGGGCGAAAGCCUGACGGAGCAACGCCGCGUGAGUGAUGACGGCCUCGG
rnacentral:rRNA from 1 species